AUGAUAAAAUUCCACAAAGUCUACCAUGUAGGCACAAAAUACGCAGCUAAAUCAUCACAUAAAUUGGACUCGUCAGGAAGUAAGGAGGAAAAUUGCAAACCUAAUUGGGUAUCCUCGAAAACUAUAGCGCAACCAAAAGGUAUGGGCAACUUAGGGUUCAAACAUUUUGAGCUCUUUAACCUUGCAAUGUUGGCUAGGCAAGCAUGGCGGCUGUUACAAAACACAGAGUCACUUAGCGCACAUUUGCUGAAAAGUAUAUACUACCCCAAUUUUUUUAUCUUGCAAGCAUUCGUAGAGAGACUUCCAAGUCAGGUGUGGAGAGUGAUCAUUCAAGGCCGAGAUACUUUGAAAUAUGGUCUGAUCAGACGCAUUGGAAACGGCAAAGAAACUAUGAUAUGGGAAGUGAAUUGGCUCCCCAGGAAUGAGAUGCUACAACCCUAUGGCUGGCGGAUCCCUAACCCGCCCAUGUUAGUUGCGGAGCUCAUCGAUGUAACUUCAGUGGCUUGGGAUAAAUAG
rnacentral:rRNA from 1 species